rnacentral:rRNA from 1 species
AGUCGAGCGGAGAUAGUGGAGCUUGCUCCAUUAUCUUAGCGGCGGACGGGUGAGUAACACGUGGGCAACCUGCCCUGCAGAUCGGGAUAACUCCGGGAAACCGGUGCUAAUACCGAAUAGUUUGCGGCCUCUCAUGAGGCUGCACGGAAAGACGGUUUCGGCUGUCACUGCAGGAUGGGCCCGCGGCGCAUUAGCUAGUUGGUGAGGUAACGGCUCACCAAGGCCACGAUGCGUAGCCGACCUGAGAGGGUGAUCGGCCACACUGGGACUGAGACACGGCCCAGACUCCUACGGGAGGCAGCAGUAGGGAAUCUUCCGCAAUGGACGAAAGUCUGACGGAGCAACGCCGCGUGAGUGAAGAAGGUUUUCGGAUCGUAAAACUCUGUUGUGAGGGAAGAACAAGUACCAACUAACUACUGGUACCUUGACGGUACCUCACCAGAAAGCCACGGCUAACUACGUGCCAGCAGCCGCGGUAAUACGUAAGUGGCAAGCGUUGUCCGGAAUUAUUGGGCGUAAAGCGCGCCCAGGCGGUCCUUUAAGUCUGAUGUGAAAGCCCACGGCUCAACCCGUGGAGGGUCAUUGGAAACUGGGGGACUUGAGUGCAGAAAAAGAAAGUGGAAUUCCAUGUGUAGCGGUGAAAUGCGUAGAGAUGUG